CCUACGGGAGGCAGCAGUGGGGAAUUUUGGACAAUGGGCGCAAGCCUGAUCCAGCCAUGCCGCGUGCGGGAAGAAGGCCUUCGGGUUGUAAACCGCUUUUGUCAGGGAAGAAACGCUCUGGGCUAAUACCCCGGGGUAAUGACGGUACCUGAAGAAUAAGCACCGGCUAACUACGUGCCAGCAGCCGCGGUAAUACGUAGGGUGCAAGCGUUAAUCGGAAUUACUGGGCGUAAAGCGUGCGCAGGCGGCUAUGCAAGACAGAUGUGAAAUCCCCGGGCUCAACCUGGGAACUGCAUUUGUGACUGCAUAGCUAGAGUACGGUAGAGGGGGAUGGAAUUCCGCGUGUAGCAGUGAAAUGCGUAGAUAUGCGGAGGAACACCGAUGGCGAAGGCAAUCCCCUGGACCUGUACUGACGCUCAUGCACGAAAGCGUGGGGAGCAAACAGGAUUAGAUACCCUGGUAGUCCACGCCCUAAACGAUGUCAACUGGUUGUUGGGAGGGUUUCUUCUCAGUAACGUAGCUAACGCGUGAAGUUGACCGCCUGGGGAGGACGGCGGCGAGUUAGAAGUACAAUUAGAAGUUGAGGCGNGAGAGNGCGACGGACGACGACGAGGGAGGAGG
rnacentral:rRNA from 1 species